rnacentral:rRNA from 1 species
UUUUUGCGAUCACGCAAUCAAUACAACUUUCAACAACGGAUCUCUUGGCUCUCGCAUCGAUGAAGAACGCAGCGAAAUGCGAUACGUAAUGUGAAUUGCAGAAUUCAGUGAAUCAUCGAAUCUUUGAACGCACCUUGCGCCCCUUGGCAUUCCGAGGGGCACACCCGUUUGAGUGUCGUGAAAUUCUCAAAAACCUUUUUCUUUUUGGGAAAGGGUUUUUGGACUUGGAGGCUUUUUGCUGGCUUCACCUUGAAGUGAGCUCCUCCUAAAUGAAUCAGUGGGGUCCGCUUUGCCGAUCCUUGACGUGAUAAGAUGUUUCUGCGUCUUUGGGUUUGGCACUGUCACCUGCUUCUAACUGUCUCCAUUGACAAUGAUGGUGCUCCGGUCACCACCGCUCUUAUCGGUGGGAGGCUUGACCCACAAAAACAAAACCUUGACCUCAAAUCGGGUGAGACUACCCGCUGAACUUAAGCAUAUCAAUAAGCGGAGGAAAAGAAACUAACAAGGAUUCCCCUAGUAACUGCGAGUGAAGCGGGAAAAGCUCAAAUUUAAAAUC